rnacentral:misc_RNA from 1 species
AGCAGCCGCGGUAAUUCCAGCUCCAAUAGCGUAUAUUAAAGUUGUUGCAGUUAAAAAGCUCGUAGUUGAAUUUCGGGGUUAGUAGGUUGGUCAUGCCUCUGGUAUGUACCGGUCUCACUGAUUCCUCCUUCCUGAUGAACCUUAAUGCCAUUUAUUUGGUGUUUUGGGGAAUUUGGACUGUUACUUUGAAAAAAUUUAGAGUGUUUAAAGCAAGCUAACGCUUGAAUACAUUAGCAUGGAAUAAUGAAAUAGGACGUUCGAUCCUAUUUUGUUGGUUUCUAGGAUUGACGUAAUGAUUAAUAGGGAUAGUUGGGGGCAUUAGUAUUCAAUUGUCAGAGGUGAAAUUCUUGGAUUUAUUGAAGACUAACUACUGCGAAAGCAUUUGCCAAGGAUGUUUUCAUUAAUCAAGAACGAAAGUUAGGGGAUCGAAGACGAUCAGAUACCGUCGUAGUCUUAACCAUAAACUAUGCCGACUAGGGAUCGGAUGAUGUUAAUUUUUUUAAUGACUCAUUCGGCGCCU